rnacentral:misc_RNA from 1 species
GGAAUAUUGCACAAUGGGCGCAAGCCUGAUGCAGCCAUGCCGCGUGUAUGAAGAAGGCCUUCGGGUUGUAAAGUACUUUCAGCGGGGAGGAAGGUGUUGCGGUUAAUAACCGCAGCAAUUGACGUUACCAACAGAAUAAGCACCGGCUAACUUCGUGCCAGCAGCCGCGGUAAUACGAAGGGUGCAAGCGUUAAUCGGAAUUACUGGGCGUAAAGCGCGCGUAGGUGGCUUGAUAAGUUGGAUGUGAAAUCCCCGGGCUCAACCUGGGAACUGCAUCCAAAACUGUCUGGCUAGAGUGCGGUAGAGGGGAGUGGAAUUUCCAGUGUAGCGGUGAAAUGCGUAGAUAUUGGAAGGAACACCAGUGGCGAAGGCGACUACCUGGACUGACACUGACACUGAGGUGCGAAAGCGUGGGGAGCAAACAGGA